GACGGAGGGUGCAAGCGUUGUUCGGAAUCACUGGGCGUAAAGCGCGUGUAGGCGGCUUGACAAGUCGAAUGUGAAAGCCCGGGGCUCAACCCCGGAAGUGCAUUCGAAACUGUCAGGCUUGAGUACGGGAGAGGGAAGUGGAAUUCCUGGUGUAGAGGUGAAAUUCGUAGAUAUCAGGAGGAACACCGGUGGCGAAGGCGGCUUCCUGGACCGAUACUGACGCUGAGACGCGAAAGCGUGGGGAGCAAACAGGAUUAGAUACCCUGGUAGUCCACGCCGUAAACUGUGAGCGCUAGGUGUAGCGGGUAUUGACCCCUGCUGUGCCGCAGCUAACGCAUUAAGCGCUCCGCCUGGGGAGUACGGUCGCAAGAUUAAA
rnacentral:rRNA from 1 species